CCGUACCGCAAAGCCAACGGUGGGGAAGGAGAAUUGCAGACGUGCAGGAAGACGAACGAGGAGGAACCAGGACGAGCGAGCAAUGGCAGGACUAGCUGGACCGUAAGUAAUAGCUGAAUUGUGCAUGACAACUUGACAUCCAUGCGGCACUCGCCACUUGCCACUGCAUAUUUCUUGUCCACUAACAAUGUCUCUCCUCUGCCCCCUGUGUGUCCACGGCCCUGUUGCUGAAUUGGCCCGAUGAAUCGAAUGUCUUCCGCAACUGGAACGGCCCCGUGAACGCUGUCGCGUCGGCGACUGAAUGCGCAGGAGGGAAAAUAUUGCUGCGAAGACGUCUCCUCUAGACGACGGUAUAUCAUCCCGUGACGACCACAUUGAAGUCUGAAUUUGAAGUGUGAAGAUGCUUCAGCAACCACAUCGUACUUUUCCAUUGCUUUCAUUGUGCUUCUACUGUGCAUGUGUGUAACUUGUGGGGUAAACAUGUGAUGACAUUGUAUGCUGGCGACACGGUCAGAUGUUCAUGCGUCUAACGUACACCUGCAUGUUAUGCAUUGAAAAGGGUUUGCCACUUGCGAUCCUGGGACGAGUAUCAGGUCCGCUUUGUCCUGUGUGGGCUGUAUCAGAUUGCUGUUCACUUCUCUAUCUGUUGGAUAUGUGACUUUCUGCAAGUUUCUGGUGUAUGAUGGCCACGUCCUUGCUUGUCACUUUGUAUGAUAUUACAUUCUGUAUUCGCUGCUUCCAUGGCAUGGUCUGCAAACUGCAAUCAUUGGGCAAAUGUCAUGUUUGCUAUGUUGUGCUUUGGCCGUCAGCUUGUCUACACGCUGUAGUUGAAUUAUUUUUGUUUCACAACUGACUUCCUCAAGUACGGUGGCCACUGCUUUGCAUGGCAUUAUA